rnacentral:lncRNA from 1 species
AAAUUUCAAAAGCAAAUAACAUGAUACACUACAACAAACUCAAAUUUUGCUCAAAGUUUACAUAGAAAUACACAAACUAUUUAGCUCAUAUUUAAUUUACAAAUAACUAAACUAUUAAAAAAUUAAAUAUUUCCCACAUAACGUACUUAUUCUAAAAAUGGCUAAUUGCAUACCUCUAUCUGAAAAGUACUAAAGUAUGAAAUUACACCUACAAUUUAUAUGGCUAAUUUAUAAUUAUUAAAAACACAUUUACUCUAAUUUUCCCUAAUACAUAAAAUUAAAAUAAUCUCAAUUCUACUUCACAUUUACUAUCCAUUCUCCCUCACAUUCAAACUAUCCAUCACAUUGUAGCUCAAAAACAUGUAUAAAUACAAAUCCUCUACAUGCUUAACAACAAACAAACUCAUUUUUCUCCCUCUCUAAAGUAUAAAACAAAGCUUCACAACAAUAAAUGAAUGGAGUAUGAAGUAGAUAACUUUCACAACACUAUGGAUGAGUGAAAUCCCCACGGAAAUGAGGAAAAAAAAUUUUAGCAGCACGUCCCCUAGGCUUGCUUCGACGCCAUGUUGAGGAUGAGCUUCUUUGUCUUUGUGGAGUGGAGUGCCUCGGGCUAGAGGAGUGGAGGAGGAAGAAAGGGGUCUUGUAGAUAAGAUUUUAUCCCGGUUGGUGUUUACUCUUCGUUGGUAAUGCCAACCGGGAGGAAAGCUCCAACCUUUUGUCCCGGUUGUAAUUACCUUUUGUCCCGGUUGGAAUUACCAACUAGGAGUAAACCUGUUAUCCUGGUUGGUAAAUCCAACCGGGACAAAAGGUUGGAUCUUUUCUCCCGGUUGGUGGCUCCAACCAGGGGUA